rnacentral:rRNA from 1 species
AUGGCGGCCGAUGGCGCUCAACAACCGCUGCUACCCGGCGGCGGCGGCGGCGGCGAGCCAGCUGAUGCCAUCCGACGGAAGCCGCCGGACGGGGUGAAGAGGUUUCGGCGCUGCCGUACGGCGCCUUCCUCCGACCCUGCUGCUGCGUCGGAAGAGCUUCAUCCUCCUACUCCCCCCGGCAACGCCAGUCAGACCGCUUCGCUCAAGAAAGUGCUCGAGAGCGGCCGCCCGAGCCCGAGCUUCCGCCUGGUGGGCCUGCUCCUCCUGGCCUACGUUGUCGCCGGCACCACCGUCUUCUACCUCUUCAUGGACCACAUGUCCGGGCACCGCAGCGGCAGCCGCGUUAUCGACGCGCUCUACUUCUGCGUGGUGACCAUGACCACCGUCGGCUACGGCGACCUCGUCCCGUCCAGCGACACCAGCAAGCUGCUGGCCAGCGCGUUCGCCUUCGGCGGCGUCGCCGUGGUGGGCACCUCGCUCAGCAAGUCCGCCGACUACCUGGUCGAGAAGCAGGAGUCGCUCGUCUUCCGCGCGGUCCACGCCGCCAACUUUGGCAAGCACCCGGCGCGGGAGCUGCGCGCCAUGGAGAUGAACAGGACGUGGUACAAGCUGUACGCGGCCGGGGCGCUGCUGGCGGCGUCGGUGGCGUCGGGGACGGUGGUGCUGUGGAAGGGGGAGGGGAUGCGGCCCGUGGACGCCCUGUACUGCGUGUGCGCGACGGUGACCACUCUCGGGUACGGCGACCGGAGCUUCAUGUCGUCGGCCGGGCGCGCGUUCGCGGCGGUGUGGGUCACCGUGAGCACGGUGGUGGUGGCGCUCUUCUUCCUGUACGUGGCGGAGCUGUACGCGGAGCGGCGGCAGAGGGCGCUGGCGCGUUGGGUGCUGACGCGGCGGACGACCAACACUGACCUCGAGGCGGCCGACCUGGACGGCGACCGGCGCGUCGGGGCGGCGGAGUUCGUGCUGUACAAGCUCAAGGAGCUCGGGAAGAUCAGCCAGGAGGAGAUCGCCGAGUUCAUGGAGGAGUUCGACGAGCUCGACGCCGACCACAACGGCACGCUGUCGCCCUCUGACCUCGCCGUCGCGCAGGCCACUGCUUGA